rnacentral:rRNA from 1 species
AUUGAACGCUGGCGGCAGGCCUAACACAUGCAAGUCGAACGAGUGGCGGACGGGUGAGUAAUGUCUGGGGAACUGCCCGAUGGAGGGGGAUAACUACUGGAAACGGUGGCUAAUACCGCAUACUAUCGGAUGUGCCCAGAUGGGAUUAGCUAGUAGGUGGGGUAACGGCUCACCUAGGCGACGAUCUCUAGCUGGUCUGAGAGGAUGACCAGCCACACUGGAACUGCGACACGGUCCAGACGCCGACGGGAGGCAGCAGUGGGGAAUAUUGCGCAAUGGGCGGAAGCCUGAUGCAGCCAGGCCGCGUGUAUGAAGAAGGCCUUCGGGUUGUAAAGUACUUUCAGCGGGGAGGCGUUACUCGCAGAAGAAGCACCGGCUAACUCCGUGCCAGCCGCCGCGGUAAUUC